UCCCUUUGGUCCCUUCCUCUCCCAGCAGCCCCUUCCUCCUCUCUUCUCCCUUUCUUUUUCCUCUCCCCUUCCUCUUCCUUCCCUCUCCCUUUUCCCUCAGACCGCCCUCUCUCCUCCAUUUCUCCCUUCUCUCACCCUUCCAAUUCUCCUCCAGCCGCCUCUCCCCUUCCUCUUGAUCUCCGACGCCGUCCUAUUUCUCCUCUUCGUCCAGCAGCUCCAGGAGGCGAGCACCAUAGGCGAUAUCAACAAUUUGGGGCACUGUGCUAAGUAUCUCAACCAAACAUUGGUCACUUUCGGGUUUCCUGCUUCUCUCGAUCUUUUUGCGCCAGACCCAGUUUCAAUUGCAAGGACUUGCAAUUGUGUAUAUGCAAUAUUACAGCAGAGGCAGAGGGAUACUGAAUUCAGAGAGUCCACAAAUGAGCAGACACCACUGUUGCACCGAAAUAUGUGAAUCCAGCAAGAAAAAGCUUCCCUUGGUACACAGAGUUGCUUCCCAUGAAGUCAUUCGAAAAAGCUCGAAUUAUAUUUUUAUUUCAUUAUUAUGUAAAUAUUGACGUUAGGCAAACCUUAGGGCGAUAAGUAUUAUUUUAUUUUUAUUGUGUAUAUUGCAUGUUUAUUAUAUUUGUACAUUAUUCCAUUCUCAUCCUCAAUUUGAAAAAAUGAACUCAGUCGGGAACCACAGUUGUGGAUUUCGAAGGGUGCCUAACCCCUUCCCUUCGUAAUAACUUGAACCCCUUACCUAGAAUCAAAUUGGUUUUGUAGACUUUUCUUUCAAGUUAAUUAAUGAUUGGUUUCCUAGUUUUCCUAAGAA